GGACAUCCAACUGGUACGGUGCAUCAAGGCCGAUUUUUGUCGGUGUUGACGGUGCCCGUCCCGUUUAGCCUCGCCGCGCGCUCAGUGUUGUGCCCACAGCAGUGGCCCCCGCCUCUGAGGCCCGCGCUCGAACUUCUCAGCGCCCUACCACCACCACCUGCGCCCCGGCCGUUGUCGCCCUCAGAUCUCUAACUUUCCCAUGGCUUCUCCCCCCUCCAAGGGCGUCACCGUCCCCGUUCUUCUCCUCUUCGCCACCUGCACCACCGUCCUCCUUCUCUUCCUCCUCCUUCCUUCCCUCUCCCCCUCCUUCUCCUCCUCCUGCCCCGCCAUCACCACCACAUCUUCCACCGCCGGCAGCGGCGCUACCUCCUCCAUCACCGACCCAAGAUUCCGACAUCAGAUCUCCCCGACCCCGGAUGACAUCGCUUGGCUGAAAUCCCAGCUCAGCCUCAACUCCAUCCAAGAGCCCCCCACGUCCCCCGAAGCCUGGCACUCCCUCCGUAAGGGCAUAAACCCUCGCACCCGCGCCGAACAGCUCGAAGACCUCCGCCGAUUCAAAGGCAUCUCCCACUACGAGGGCGACACCGACAAUCACACCGCCCUCCCCUGCCCCGGCGAACUCCUGGUGGAGGAGCACCACAGCAACUACGGCGAGCCGUGGGCCGGCGGCCGCGACGUCUUCGAAUUCCUCGCCAAUGCCGUCGCCCUCGCGCCCUCCGACCUCGUCCUCGAGAUCGGCUGUGGCACUCUCCGGGUUGGUCUCCACUUCAUCCGCUACCUCGACCCCACCAGCUUCCACUGCCUCGAGCGCGACGAGCUCUCCCUCAUGGCCGCUCUCCGCUACGAGCUCCCCUCCGAGGGCCUCCUCUACAAGCAGCCCCUCAUUCUUCGAGGGGACGACAUGGAGUUCGGCCGCUUCGGCGAUGGCAUUUCCUAUGAUCUCAUCUAUGCCAGUGCUGUGUUCCUCCACAUGCCCGAUGCUCUCGUCUGGGUGGGGCUGGAGAGACUGGUGGAGAGGUUAAAACCUCAGAAAGGUCGGAUCUUUGUGUCCCACAACAUCAAGUUCUGCUCGCGGCUCGGUGGCGAUGAGUGUACAAGAAGGCUGACAAAGUUGGGGUUGGAGUAUGUUGGGAAGCACACACAUGAUAGCUUGCUGUUUAACCACUAUGAGAUUUGGUUUGAAUUCAGAAGGCCCAAAGCUUAGAGUUAUUUGGGAAGUUGUUAGAUGUUUCAAUGAGGAGCUGAUAAUGGCAAUGAUCUUCGUUGGCAUUGACAAGAUCUGAACUUUCCUAUGGAAGGAUGAUGGAACUUUAAUGGGCUUGUCUGUUUUGGCUACGUCAUGCAGCGCGCCAAACAAUGAUUCAUUUGAAAGUAUUCUUUGGAGAAUCUAGUGGGGAGAAAUAGGCAAAGGAUUGAAUAUUUCUAUGCUAUGCCAGAUUAUACUUGGUGAGGCAGAUCUUGGAAAGGAUUAAUGUGCCAUAAUUCUAAAAUGAAGCCGGAGCCUUAUGCACAUGCAAUCUAAUAGACCAUUCUUUCCUUUACAUGGUAGAGCUAAAAGUGCAAGCACAAACGUCCUAUAAUGACCAUUCAUCGUGGUCAAUCGAACCUCAUUCUUUGAACAUUGUAAAGUACAUUAUUGCUAGAUGCAGGUUUAAAGCUGUUCAAUGGAAGUCUCGGCUAUGUUACAUGUUUGAGGAAAGCAAUUGAAUUGUGUGGCUUUAGACAUUGUCAUCACCUGAAAGAUUUUUACAUAUUGUUCUUCACUGAAAAAUCCCUUUCUUUAUUUAC